UAGAUGUUAUCCGUGGAAGAGAACUCCUUGGUUAAUUUCCACCUCAACUAUUAUUAGAAUUGAAGGUUUUGGUGUGUAAAAGGGGAGACUUUUAAAGUCUACUACAAAGUUGGUUAGAUUCAUUUCCAAAAACCAAGCUGCUACCUUGGUUUUGUAAAUGCGGAGGGCCAGGCUCCACAUGGGCUGGGGUCCGCGGGGAGGCAGGGCGCCUUGGUCGCUGACUUCAGCCGUUGAGACCUGGUGGGCUGCGGGCGGUCCCGUGCUCAGUUGGGCCAGGGAGUGGUGUAGGCACGCAGGCCCGUCCUGCCCACCCCAUCUCCCCGCAGUGGGUUUCUCCUCUUUCU
rnacentral:lncRNA from 1 species